UAAUUAUAAUUAACUUGGCGCACGCAAAAUCUAUAAUCAGUUUGCGUACAAUCGAACAAUAUAACGAUAAAUUUUAUUGUACAUAAUAUCGAUUGAUGUAUCGAAAUAUAUCGACGAAUGUGAAUCUGAGUACUUAUAUAUAUGUGCGAUGUAAAAAUACAAAAUGACUGUUAUUUUGUAGUGGAUUACGUUUAAUUAAUUGUGAAAAGAAUGUGAAUAUUAUUUCAUAACAUCUUCGUAUCCAUUGAAACGCAUUGUUUAACUGAAUUGAUUUUUUUAUUACAAAAAAUGUGGAUUUCUUUUCUAUUCAUUAUUUUUCUAACCUUUGAUUUUGCAAUGGCUUCAUCUGCCUUUGAUUUUGGAGAUACUUUAGCAUUAAUUCUUGGAUUGAUCAUUGGUAUUAUUGGAUUCUUCGCCUGCAUGGGUGCGUAUGCACGACAUCGAAAUCAGUUGCCACCAUUGUCACAGGAAUACAGCUGAUUGCUAUUGGAUACAUAAAAAGUUACAGAAGAAAAUGCUUCGAAUAAUAGAUUUACGUAUUUUGAAUACUAUACAUUAUUCAAUUUAAUUUAUAAGCAAUAGAUUCAGAAUGUUUUAUCAAUAAGAAUAAUUUUUAUAAUUGUGAAUUACUCAUAAAAAUAUAUUAAACUAUUUUUGUAUACUA